UUCCCCAUCCCCACCGAGCGGACGCGCGAUUCUAGCGCAGAAACACCGCCUCUAAGCGCUAUCCCUGCCGCUAGACACAGCCCGAUGACACCGCUGCCGCGCCAAUGCCUCCUCGCACGCUCCUGUCGCCGCUAUAGCACAUGCUACGGAAGCCGCUACGCCUCCCACCACCUACCUGCAAAUCGUGCGCUAGCUGCCGCCGUGCGCCUUCUCUCAUCGCAAAUCACGUCAUCCCACCGCAGAUCGCAGCCUCCCCCGCCAGCGUCGAGGUGAGAGCGCGCUUCCUGCCGUCCUACUCCGAUGUGAAAAGGAUCUGCUUACCCUCCUACCUGGUGUUGUUCCUCAAUCUUCGCGGCAGCGUCCUCAGUCGUUGCUUCUCUGCCGGCCGCGGUGGCGCCUGCUCUUCCUUCAAUCUCUCGGUUCAUAACCCAUGGUUCAGACUCCUCAGCCCACCGACAAGCCAUCCAUCUCCACCAAGAAGAUGAAGGACGCUUGAUUUGGCCGCCUGGCUUUGAUUUGCCCGUCGAUCAUCCGUUGCAGGGUCAAUCGUGGAUACAAUACUUUUUAUCUGAACAAAUAUUGGCCUUUUGCUUUUUUGUGUGUUGAUUUUCAAUAUGCAUUUGUGUUUUAUCUUCAAAUUAUGUGGCGAAUUGUAAUCCAUGGGAAUCUCUUAAACUGUUGAUAGAAUUGCUGAUGCUAAUUCCCUUUGCGUGAGUUGCAGGUGUUCAGCAAAAUCCUGCUUAGGUACUGUCUAUUGCAAGCAAUUUGAUCCAUUGUGUUCUCCUUUCUUCACGAAUUCAGGGUGCAGUCCAGUUUGCUGACACUAAACACUUCAAUGUUGUACAUAGUUCAUACUCUUUCUCUGCAGGUGGUCACUUAUUUCUACCUUUCUCUGUCUACUAAAAUGGAUAGCGCCACUGGAAGCUCCACACCAAAUCCAGCGGAUUGAACAGGCCUCCAGCGUUGUUUCCAGGGCGAAGUGAUUUAUCUGCCACUAGCAGUCUUCGUUUGUUUCAUUCCUUGUGAUGAUCUGUGCCUGAGAAGUCCUCCACUUCUCCCUACUAUUAUGUCAGGUUGACAUUGUAGACAACAACUGAAUAUUUUGCUAAAAUCUUGUCAUGGUUUACCAUGGCAUUUCACUGUUUGGUACACUGUUUUUAAGAGCUAUUACUACAGUAUAUAUUGGAACCUUGAGGUAAAAUUCAUGUUUAAGCUUAUUAACAGCAUUCUUAGUUACCCGUUAUUGUUUGGUCUUUCUCAUAAGAUUUCAUAGUGAGCAUUUGUGUAGUCAGAGAUGAUAAGAUACAUUAUUUUGUUUUUUUUUUCUUUCUUGGAGAAUACUCGACCCCUUGCUGCAUAUAUACAUCAUGAUGACGUCCAAUUAUGUGUUGCUCAACCCUGAAGAGAAAACCGACAAGAUAAUUGUGCAGGUCUACAUGCUUUUGCUAACUGUGUGUUUGAUAAUUAGUCAUGUCAUGGUAUAAGUCAUUUCUUUGGCACAUAUACCAGCAGAAAUGCAGGUGUUGCUGCUAAGUAACAUCAGGGGUGCUAGAGCUUGGUCAAGAUGCCUGGUGGCGGAGCUGAUGAUUUGGAGGCUUGGAGCAAACAUAUAGUGUGCUGACGAUGACCCUGUAUGCAUGAUUCCUAUCGAGUAAUUUUACCUUUGUGGCAUUUUAGACUACCCUCAACUUUUUCAACCACCUAAUCCAACUUGUCAUAUGUCAAAAGAAUUGGUCUAUAUAUUGCUGUGGGAGUUCAUUGAUAAAUAGGAGCCGACGUACUCAAAAUCUUUCAUAUACGUUAAAAGAGAGUCGGUAAUCAAAAGUGGAACAAAUACAAGAUUACCCAGUCCAAAGCAAACAAUGGUGAUAAAAAUGAUUGAAAGUGAAAUUUACUCUAUAGUUUAUUCUCUCCUAUUAUAAAUGUUAAAAAAAACGUGCCUUGCACGUGCACGAUUACUAGUAUAUAUAAUAUCUUUCUCUGUACUGUUUGCCAGAGGAAUAGAACGUAUGUAUGUACAUACGACAACCAAAAUAAAGCAUACAUGCUUAGUACUAUCAAAAAA